GUUGAAACACAUGUUCUCGUACGAUCGCCGAAGUUAAGCAGCGUUGAGCCUGGUCAGUACCUAGAUUAGUGACCGUUUGGUAAUGC